rnacentral:rRNA from 1 species
AGGAUGAACGCUGGCGGCGUGCCUAACACAUGCAAGUCGAACGUCCUGUCUCGCAAGAGGCAGGGAGUGGCGGACGGGUGAGUACCACGUGGGUCAUCUACCGUGAGGUGAGGAAUACCGGCGAGAAAUCGCCGACAAGACCGCAUAGGCUCGAUGCAAGUCGAGCAAAGCUCUUUCGAGAGAGGGAGCGCCACACGAGGAGCCUGCGCCCGAUUAGCUAGCUGGUGGAGUAACGGUUCACCAGGGCGACGAUCGGUAGCUGGUCUGAGAGGACGAUCAGCCACACUGGGAUUGAGAACGGCCCAGACUCCUACGGGGGCAGCAGUGAGGAAUUUUCGUCAAUGGGGCAACCCUGAACGAGCAACGCCGCGUGCAGGAAGAAGGUUUCGGAUCGUAAACUGCUUUUCGUCGGGAAGAGAACGGACGGUACCCGAGGAAUCAGCCCGGCUAACUACGUGCCAGCAGCCGC